UGGGGAAUAUUGCACAAUGGGGGAAACCCUGAUGCAGCCAUGCCGCGUGUGUGAAGAAGGCCUUCGGGUUGUAAAGCACUUUCAGCGAGGAGGAAAGGUUGGCGCCUAAUACGUGUCAACUGUGACGUUACUCGCAGAAGAAGCACCGGCUAACUCCGUGC
rnacentral:rRNA from 1 species